rnacentral:rRNA from 1 species
UACGUAGGGUCCGAGCGUUGUCCGGAAUCAUUGGGCGUAAAGAGCGUGUAGGCGGCUUGGUAAGUCCGCUGUGAAAGUCCAGGGCUCAACCCUGGAAUGCCGGUGGAAACUGUCAGGCUCGAGUCCGGAAGAGGCGAGUGGAAUUCCUGGUGUAGCGGUGAAAUGCGCAGAUAUCAGGAGGAACACCAAUGGCGAAGGCAGCUCGCUGGGCCUUACCUGACGCUGAGGAGCGAAGGCGUGGGGAGCGAACAGG